AUUGAACGCUGGCGGCAUGCUUUACACAUGCAAGUCGAACGGCAGCAUGGGUGCUUGCACCUGAUGGCGAGUGGCGAACGGGUGAGUAAUGUAUCGAAACAUAUCCGCAAGUGGGGGAUAACGUAGCGAAAGUUACGCUAAUACCGCAUAUUCCCUGAGGGGGAAAGGAGGGGAUCCGCAAGGACCUUUCGCUUACGGAGUGGCCGAUAUCAGAUUAGCUAGUUGGUGGGGUAAAGGCCUACCAAGGCGACGAUCUGUAGCGGGUCUGAGAGGAUGAUCCGCCACACUGGGACUGGGACCCGGCCCAGACUCCUACGGGAGGCAGCAGUGGGGAAUUUUGGACAAUGGGGGCAACCCUGAUCCAGCCAUGCCGCGUGAGUGAAGAAGGCCUUCGGGUUGUAAAGCUCUUUCAGCUGGAAAAAAAUCGCAUCACCUAAUACGUGGUGUGGAUGAUGGUACCAGCAGAAGAAGCACCGGCUAACUACGUGCCAGCCGCCGCCGUAA
rnacentral:rRNA from 1 species